UUAAAUUGAAGAGUUUGAUCAUGGCUCAGAUUGAACGCUGGCGGCAGGCCUAACACAUGCAAGUCGAACGGUAGCACAGAGAGCUUGCUCUCGGGUGACGAGUGGCGGACGGGUGAGUAAUGUCUGGGAAACUGCCUGAUGGAGGGGGAUAACUACUGGAAACGGUGGCUAAUACCGCAUAACGUCGCAAGACCAAAGAGGGGGACCUUCGGGCCUCUUGCCAUCAGAUGUGCC
rnacentral:rRNA from 1 species